rnacentral:rRNA from 1 species
GAUGAACGCUGGCGGCGUGCCUAAUACAUGCAAGUCGAGCGAACAGACGAGGAGCUUGCUCCUCUGACGUUAGCGGCGGACGGGUGAGUAACACGUGGAUAACCUACCUAUAAGACUGGGAUAACUUCGGGAAACCGGAGCUAAUACCGGAUAAUAUAUUGAACCGCAUGGUUCAAUAGUGAAAGACGGUUUUGCUGUCGCUUAUAGAUGGAUCCGCGCCGCAUUAGCUAGUUGGUAAGGUAACGGCUUACCAAGGCAACGAUGCGUAGCCGACCUGAGAGGGUGAUCGGCCACACUGGAACUGAGACACGGUCCAGACUCCUACGGGAGGCAGCAGUAGGGAAUCUUCCGCAAUGGGCGAAAGCUUGACGGAGCAACGCCGCGUGAGUGAUGAAGGUCUUCGGAUCGUAAAACUCUGUUAUUAGGGAAGAACAAAUGUGUAAGUAACUAUGCACGUCUUGACGGUGCCUAAUCAGAAAGCCACGGCUAACUACGUG